AUGCUUGCCAGAUGUUGUAAAACUUCAAACACUGAGAUGAAGGGGUUGAAAUUUAGCAUGGAGAUACGAAAUUAUGUUAUCAGCUCCUUGCCCGAAUUGUGCUGUGUGGUGUACCAGCCUUGCUUGGUAGAAAGACGAAAGAGAUCCGAAUGCUUUAGGGACUUGGGAGUUUCUGCUGCAGUGCUCAAUGCACUCUCGUGGUCUAGAAAAAUACUACCUCUGUCCCAUAAUAUAAGACGUUCUUUGCAGUUUGAAACUGCAAAAAUGUCUUAUAUUUUGGGAAACAUUGUUGUAUGUCUGUACGUUUUCUGUGAAUAA
rnacentral:rRNA from 1 species